rnacentral:rRNA from 1 species
UACGUAGGGGGCAAGCGUUGUCCGGAUUUAUUGGGCGUAAAGAGCGUGUAGUCGGCUUUGCAAGUCCGUUGUGAAAACUCGAGGCUCAACCUCGAGACGCCGGUGGAAACUGCAAAGCUAGAGUCCGGAAGAGGAGAGUGGAAUUCCUGGUGUAGCGGUGAAAUGCGCAGAUAUCAGGAAGAACGCCCGUGGCGAAGGCGGCUCUCUGGGACGGUACUGACGCUGAGGCGCGAAAGCUAGGGGAGCAAACGGG